CUCAAAACCGCCCUCCAACCUUAUCUCAACGUAACCCCCGUCUUCUUCGUACAACACAUCGCAAAACCACGUUCAAAACCAAAAGACCUUGCUGUAGUUUGUGGGAUGUGAUAAUUGAAUCACAAUUCAUUAUAUACCGGUUAAACAUCGUAAUCAAAAUUGCAUUUUGAAUCCACUCACUUAUAUCUCUGGAGUUCCAGUCGUGUUGGCACCAACCCACCCGCAUAUCACAACCACCGGUCACCGCUUACUGCCGCCGUGAACCAGCCGGAUUUGGAACCGUCGUACCGCCGCCACAACUCCGCCGUAACCACCCCUCCGCUUGUUUCCGUUCAAGUCAGUUUUGCCAGCCACCUCUGCAUAAGUUUAAUCAGCACCGUCCCAUUUAGAUUUGCGCCGCUCCGUCUGAUUAGUUGAGGUAAUGGCUCUCGUACGUUUUGAGGAGGACUUGAAUUGUAUUACUUUGCUUUGCUUGCUAAUAAGGUACGGAUUCUGUUUUUCUUUCAUCAUAGUAUACUGUUAUUUUUCGGUACUCGUUGAUACGGAUUCUUUGGUCUUGCUAUCAUAA
rnacentral:lncRNA from 1 species